rnacentral:tRNA from 1 species
UGAAGGUUUGAAACUUAGGCUGCUAACUUGAGUUCGGGAAAUGUUUUUUCCAUCUUCAU